GUGGUGGAGGGGGACAGAGGAGGGAAUUGAAUGUUUUGAAGAGAUUACAUGUGUCUGAAGCGUUGUUGAUCUUGUUUAACUACUGCUGAU